UAACAACUCUCAGCAACGGAUAUCUCGGCUCUUGCAUCGAUGAAGAACGCAGCGAAAUGCGAUAAAUGGUGUGAAUUGCAGAAUCCCGUGAACCAUCGAUUUUUUGAACGCAAGUUGCGCCCGAGGCCAUCAGGCCAAGGGCACGCCUCCUUGGGCAUUGCGA
rnacentral:rRNA from 1 species